rnacentral:rRNA from 1 species
CCCUUAGAUGUUCUGGGCCGCACGCGCGCUACACUGAUGCAUUCAACGAGCCUAUCCUUGACCGACAGGUCCGGGUAAUCUUUGAAUCUGCAUCGUGACGGGGAUAGAUUAUUGCAAUUAUUAAUCUUCAACGAGGAAUGCCUAGUAGGCGCAAGUCAUCAGCUUGCGUCGAUCACGUCCCUGCCCUUUGUACACACCGCCCGUCGCUCCUACCGAUUGGGUGUGCUGGUGAAAUGUUCGGAUCGGCCGUUUGUCGCGGUUUCCGCGGCUCGUGGCUGAGAAGUUCAUUAAACCCUCCCACCUAGAGGAAGGAGAAGUCGUAACA